GGGGGGGGGACAACCUCGCAAGCUAGGUUCUCUACUUCCGCUUCACUCCCCAACCCGCUCCAACGUGUUGGGGAGGGAGCGGAAGUAGAGAACCUGGCUUGCGAGGUUGGGGGUGGGG